CCUACGGGUGGCAGCAGUGGGGAAUCUUCCGCAAUGGGCGAAAGCCUGACGGAGCAACGCCGCGUGAUCGACUGAAGGCCUUCGGGUUGUCAAGAUCUGUUGACAGGGACGAAUAAGCAAUGCGAAUAGUUUUGUGUAUGACGGUACCUGUUUAGAAAGCUCCGGCUAACUACGUGCCGUCAGCAGCGUUAAUACGUAGGGAGCAAGCGUUGUCCGGACUUACUGGGCGUAAAGGGCGCGUAGGUGGGUGCUUAAGUCAGGUGUGAAAACUCGGGGCUCAACCGUGAGACUGCACUCGAAACUGGGUGUAUUGAGGGCAGGAGAGGAAAGCGGAAUUCGUAGUGUAGCGGUGAAAUGCGUAGAUAUCAGGAGGAACACCAGUGGCGAAGGCGACUGUCUGGACUGUACCUGACGCUGAGGCGCGAAAGUGUGGGUAGCGAACGGGAUUAGAUACCCCUGUAGUC
rnacentral:rRNA from 1 species